UACAGGGGGGGCAAGCGUUGUUCGGAAUUCCUGGGCGUAAAGGGCUCGUAGGUGGCCAACUAAGUCAGACGUGAAAUCCCUCGGCUUAACCGGGGAACUGCGUCUGAUACUGGAUGGCUUGAGUUUGGGAGAGGGAUGCGGAAUUCCAGGUGUAGCGGUGAAAUGCGUAGAUAUCUGGAGGAACACCGGUGGCGAAGGCGGCAUCCUGGACCAACACUGACACUGAUGAGCGAAAGCCAGGGGAGCAAACGGG
rnacentral:rRNA from 1 species